AACGAACGCUGGCGGCAUGCCUAACACAUGCAAGUCGAACGAGACCUUCGGGUCUAGUGGCGCACGUGUGCGUAACGCGUGGGAACCUGCCCUUAGGUUCGGAAUAACUCCCCGAAAGGGGUUCUAAUACCGGAUAAUGUCUUCGGACCAAAGAUUUAUCGCCUUUGGAUGGGCCCGCGUUGGAUUAGCUAGUUGGUAGGGUAAAAGCCUACCAAGGCGACGAUCCAUAGCUGGUCUGAGAGGAUGAUCAGCCACACUGGGACUGAGACACGGCCCAGACUCCUACGGGAGGAAGAAGUGGGGAAUAUUGGAGAAUGGGCGAAAGCCUGAUCAAGCAAUGCCGCGUGAGUGAUGAAGGCCUCAGGGUUGUAAAGCUCUUUUACCUGGGAUGAUAAUGACAGUACCGGGAGAAUAAGCACCGGCUAACUCCGUG
rnacentral:rRNA from 1 species